UAUCCCCAUGGAGUCUGUUGCCC
rnacentral:miRNA from 1 species